CCUACGGGAGGCAGCAGUGGGGAAUUUUGGACAAUGGGCGCAAGCCUGAUCCAGCCAUGCCGCGUGCGGGAAGAAGGCCUUCGGGUUGUAAACCGCUUUUGUCAGGGAAGAAAUCCUUUGGGCUAAUACCUCGGAGGGAUGACGGUACCUGAAGAAUAAGCACCGGCUAACUACGUGCCAGCAGCCGCGGUAAUACGUAGGGUGCGAGCGUUAAUCGGAAUUACUGGGCGUAAAGCGUGCGCAGGCGGUUAUGCAAGACAGAUGUGAAAUCCCCGGGCUUAACCUGGGAACUGCAUUUGUGACUGCAUAGCUCGAGUACGGCAGAGGGGGAUGGAAUUCCGCGUGUAGCAGUGAAAUGCGUAGAUAUGCGGAGGAACACCGAUGGCGAAGGCAAUCCCCUGGGCCUGUACUGACGCUCAUGCACGAAAGCGUGGGGAGCAAACAGGAUUAGAUACCCUGGUAGUCCACGCCCUAAACGAUGUCAACUGGUUGUUGGACGGCUUGCUGUUCAGUAACGAAGCUAACGCGUGAAGUUGACCGCCUGGGGAGUACGGCCGCAAGGUUGAAACGUUAAAGGAAUUGACGG
rnacentral:rRNA from 1 species